GCAUGUGGGGCGAGGCGAGACUACAUGUGCUGGUUCUACUAGACUCAAACCAAAUCCCAACUCCUUUAAUUCUCCUAGUCAAAGUGAUGGGGUAGGUAAGGAGGGGACUGUACCAGAAUCCUUAUUAAAACAAGCUUAUAAAACCGGUUCACUGAACCUGUUAAAUAGAUUGGUGGAUUAACCUACCUGAGAACAGGUGGAUGUAUGAAAGUUAGUGGGUGAAUGUCUAUCAUCUAACGAAUGUGAAGAUAUCAAAAACUUUAAUCAUUGUCAGUGCUUGAUGUGAGAAUAAAAAUAGUCCAGUACAAUGAGUUAACAUGUCUACGUAAUAGAGCUGUUGCACGGAUGUAGUCAACGGGGUAGGCGGGGCUUCCUGUCGGCCAUUUUGAGUGGCAAGAAUGUACACGCAACGAAUGGAGGAAUGGAAACAAACUGCGAUUUUUCAUCAAAGAGAUAUCAUACUU